ACGGAAGGCAGCAGUGGGGGAUAUUGCACAAUGGGCGCAAGCCUGAUGCAGCAACGCCGCGUGAGGGAAGACGGUUUUCGGAUUGUAAACCUCCGUCCCUGGUGAAGAAGAAAGUGACGGUAACCAGGGUAGGAAGCCACGGCUAACUACGUGCCAGCAGCCGCGGUAAUACGUAGGUGGCGAGCGUUGUCCGGAUUUACUGGGUGUAAAGGGAGCGCAGGCGGGACUGCAAGUUGGAUGUGAAAUACCGAGGCUUAACCUCGGAGCUGCAUCCAAAACUGCAGUUCUUGAGUGGAGUAGAGGUAGGCGGAAUUCCGAGUGUAGCGGUGAAAUGCGUAGAUAUUCGGAGGAACACCGGUGGCGAAGGCGGCCUACUGGGCUUUAACUGACGCUGAGGCUCGAAAGUGUGGGGAGCAAACAGGAUUAGAUACCCUGGUA
rnacentral:rRNA from 1 species